GACGAACGCUGGCGGCGUGCUUAAUACAUGCAAGUCGAACGGAAAGGCCCUGCUUGCAGGGUACUCGAGUGGCGAACGGGUGAGUAACACGUGGGUGAUCUGCCCUGCACUUCGGGAUAAGCCUGGGAAACUGGGUCUAAUACCGGAUAGGAGCCAUUUUUAGUGUGAUGGUUGGAAAGUUUUUUCGGUGUAGGAUGAGCUCGCGGCCUAUCAGCUUGUUGGUGGGGUAAUGGCCUACCAAGGCGGCGACGGGUAGCCGGCCUGAGAGGGUGGACGGCCACAUUGGAACUGAGAUACGGCCCAGACUCCUACGGGAGGCAGCAGUGGGGAAUAUUGCACAAUGGGCGCAAGCCUGAUGCAGCGACGCCGCGUGGGGGAUGACGGCCUUCGGGUUGUAAACUCCUUUCGCUAGGGACGAAGCUUUUUGUGACGGUACCUAGAUAAGAAGCACCGGCUAACUACGUG
rnacentral:rRNA from 1 species